CCUACGUGAGACAGCAGUGGGGAAUAUUGCACAAUGGGGGAAACCCUGAUGCAGCGACGCCGCGUGAGUGAAGAAGUAUUUCGGUAUGUAAAGCUCUAUCAGCCGGGAAGAACAUGACGGUACCUGAUUAAGAAGCCCCGGCUAACUACGUGCCAGCAGCCGCGGUAAUACGUAGGGGGCAAGCGUUAUCCGGAUUUACUGGGUGGAAAGGGAGCGUAGACGGCAGCACAAGUCUGGAGUGAAAUGCCGGGGCUUAACCCCGGAACUGCUUUGGAAACUGUGCAGCUAGAGUGCAGGAGAGGGAAGGGGAAUUCCUAGGGUAGCGGUGAAAUGUGUAGAGAUUAGGAGGAACACCAGUGGCGAAGGCGGCUUACUGGACUGUAACUGACGUUGAGGCUCGAAAGCGUGGGGAGCAAACAGGAUUAGAUACCCGUGUAGUC
rnacentral:rRNA from 1 species